rnacentral:rRNA from 1 species
GCACUUCGGGAUAAGCCUGGGAAACUGGGUCUAAUACCGAAUAGGACCAUAAGGCGCAUGCCUAUUGGUGGAAAGCUUUUGCGGUGUGGGAUGGGCCCGCGGCCUAUCAGCUUGUUGGUGGGGUGACGGCCUACCAAGGCGACGACGGGUAGCCGGCCUGAGAGGGUGUCCGGCCACACUGGGACUGAGAUACGGCCCAGACUCCUACGGGAGGCAGCAGUGGGGAAUAUUGCACAAUGGGCGCAAGCCUGAUGCAGCGACGCCGCGUGGGGGAUGACGGCCUUCGGGUUGUAAACCUCUUUCACCAUCGACGAAGGUCCGGGUUUUCUCGGAUUGACGGUAGGUGAGAAGAAGCACCGGCCAACUACGUGCCAGCAGCCGCGGUAAUACGUAGGGUGCGAGCGUUGUCCGGAAUUACUGGGCGUAAAGAGCUCGUAGGUGGUUUGUCGCGUUGUUCGUGAAAUCUCACGGCUUAACUGUGAGCGUGCGGGCGAUACGGGCAGACUGGAGUACUGCAGGGGAGACUGGAAUUCCUGGUGUAGCGGUGGAAUGCGCAGAUAUCAGGAGGAACACCGGUGGCGAAGGCGGGUCUCUGGGCAGUAACUGACACUGAGGAGCGAAAGCGUGGGGAGCGAACAGGAUUAGAUACCCUGGUAGUCCACGCCGUAAACGGUGGGUACUAGGUGUGGGUUUCCUU